GAAUGAAAAUCCGUUGGUUUUACGGGACCGUGAGGGUUCGAAUCCCUCUAUCCCCAGCG
rnacentral:tRNA from 3 species